GGGGGGGGGGGGGGGGGGGGUGGGGGCGGGGGGGGCGGGGGGGGGGGCCCCGGUGGGGGUACUCGAGGGGCGCACGGGGGGGGAACACGGUAGUAACCGGCCCUUGGCUUCGGGAUAACUGCAGGAGACUGGGGCUAAUACCGGAUCGGAAUCCUUGCGGCAUGGUGGGGAUUGGAAAGCUUCGGCGGUUUUGGAUGGACUCGCGGCUUAGCAGCUGGUGGGUGGGGUAGUGGCUUACCAAGGCUUGGCCGGGUCGCCGGCCUGAGAGGGCGACCGGCCACAUUGGGACUGAGAGACGGCCCAGACUCCUACGGGAGGCAGCAGUGGGGAAUAUUGCACAAUGGGCGGAAGCCUGAUGCAGCAACGCCGCGUGCGGGAUGACGGCCUUCGGGUUGUAAACCGCUUUCAGCAGGGGCGAAGCUUGUGGUGACGGUACCUGCAGAAGAAGCACCGGCUAACUACGUG
rnacentral:rRNA from 1 species